UUUCCGUUGGUGAACCAGCGGAAGGAUCAUU
rnacentral:rRNA from 1 species